rnacentral:tRNA from 1 species
GCGCCGAGGGGCUGCUCGCCCUCGUGCACACCGAGGUGGACCCGGUGUACGAGGGAAACGGCGUCGGUUCGGCGCUGACCCGGCACGC